rnacentral:rRNA from 1 species
CCUACGGGAGGCAGCAGUGAGGAAUAUUGGUCAAUGGGCGCGAGCCUGAACCAGCCAAGUAGCGUGAAGGAUGACUGCCCUACGGGUUGUAAACUUCUUUUAUAAAGGAAUAAAGUGAGGCACGUGUGCCUUUUUGUAUGUACUUUAUGAAUAAGGAUCGGCUAACUCCGUGCCAGCAGCCGCGGUAAUACGGAGGAUCCGAGCGUUAUCCGGAUUUAUUGGGUUUAAAGGGUGCGUAGGCGGCCUUUUAAGUCAGCGGUGAAAGUCUGUGGCUCAACCAUAGAAUUGCCGUUGAAACUGGGAGGCUUGAGUAUGUUUGAGGCAGGCGGAAUGCGUGGUGUAGCGGUGAAAUGCAUAGAUAUCACACAGAACACCGAUUGCGAAGGCAUCUCACGAAUCCGCGAUUGACGCUGAUGCACGAAAGCGUGGGUAUCAAACAGGAUUAGAUACCCCAGUAGUC